rnacentral:pre_miRNA from 1 species
UUAACUCAAAUAUGUAUGCAUUUGGAACGUUUGCCUACGUUUGCCGCUAGGGGCGCUGUUCCAAAUCCAUCCUAAUGUUAGUUA